UACGUAGGGGGCAAGCGUUGUCCGGAAUCAUUGGGCGUAAAGAGCGUGUAGGUGGCCUUACAGGUCAGCUGUGAAAACUCGAGGCUCAACCUCGAGACGUCGGUUGAAACCGUAAGGCUAGAGUCCGGAAGAGGAGAGUGGAAUUCCCGGUGUAGCGGUGAAAUGCGCAGAUAUCGGGAAGAACACCCGUGGCGAAGGCGGCUCUCUGGGACGGUACUGACGCUGAGACGCGAAAGCGUGGGGAGCGAACAGG
rnacentral:rRNA from 1 species